rnacentral:tRNA from 1 species
AGACUUAUAGCUUAAUGGUAGAGCAUGCGGCUCAUGACCGUUUAGUCGGUGUGGGUUCAAGUCCCUCUAGGUCUA